ensembl:lncRNA
AACAACAACGGCGGCGUUCCUCCAGCGAGGAGGUGGGCAGCCUCCAGCCCGAAUGGCCAGAGUACUGCCCAUGGGAGCUUAUCGCGCCAUGGGUCCAGGAUGUCCGCAGGGUGGACGACCCUUGGAGUCACCGGUGGGAGGACACGGAUGACGAAAGCGAUGAUGACGUGGAUUUUCGGUGGGCGGUCGGUGCCGGGAUGGCUCCGCCCAGCGUGCGCGUCCGAGAUCAUCGCGGCGUCCGUGAUGACCCAUGUGACUUCCGGGGGUACGAGGUUGACACGGACGACGACCAGGAUGACGCCGUUUGGGCAGUCGGUGCCGGGAUGGCUCCGCCCAUCGCGCCCAUCCAGGAGCGUCACGAGGUCCGUGGAGACCCACGUCCCUCCCAGCAGUGUGAGGAAAGCUGGUGGAAGAGGGCGACGGGAGGUCGCCAGCCAGCAACUGCGCUGCCGGGACUGCCUCGCAGGGAAUCCUCCAUUCCUGCUCCAGUCGCCGACCCGCCUUCCCUCUGCCCGGACGUUCCCCAGCAAAAUGGCAGCGCAGCACCAGCGUCCACACCUGCUGGAGAAGACGUCCACCCCCCUCCACACCACACACCUACCACCAUCUCCAGCGACGUGCCCAGCCCCGUGUGGGACCGCCCAAUUGUCCCGGGACCCUUCAGUGGGGCAGCAGACACAGACGAGAUCACUACCAUCCUCACGUGUCUGACUGGAUCAGCAUGGGGCUGGAGCACAACCCUCUGGCAGCAGGGAGAGACAGACAGGAGUUUUCGGGACUUCCAACAGAGACUGAGGGCGGAGUUUGAUCGGCCUGAGCCAGGGAUCGAACUCUGCCCCUCCACCACAUCCAGUGCCAGUCAGGAUCCGGGGCAAGAAGACCCAGCACUGGUGGGCGACGAGAAGGUCGCUCCUCCCGAGAUCCUGGCUGUGCCCCCUGAGGAGGUCCCGGAGAGCCCAGAGAGGGAGCCAGACGACCCUCUCUUCUGUCUGUCUCUGUCUGUGUGUGUCUGUGUGGCAUAUGUGUCCGUAUGUCGCCCCCACUUCCCCUCUUUGUGUCCACCAGAUGGCGACCCAGCCGCGGAGCUGAACCCCAGGGAGGAGGUUCCUGACCCGAAUGUGCUGGUCCAAGGCGAGGUGGACAAGCCCCAAGGUACCCCUAAGUCCAGCCGGGGGGGGUGCUCCCCCAAAGAAUUUUUUGGGGGGGUGCAGUUCGGGUUGGGGACUCCUCCUGAGGGGAGGGGAGGUGGGGAAGCGAUGGAGCUGGGUCCUCCGGUAGCCAGUGAGGAGGGCGGGGCAGGCAUGGGCCUGCGUCUGCCUCCAGAGGGGUGGAGCGCCAUAGAGCCCCCGGGUAGGCAUGAGGACCCAGCUGGGACAGGCAGGAAGAGGGCCUGCUUGUCCCAACGGACGCAGAAGGGGCUAGCCGGAUGGUCUGGCAAUGCCCCCCCCUUGGCACCAGGGCCGUGCAGCGAGAGGGGCUGCAUAGUCCCAGAAGGCACCAGCCUGGGGUGCCUGGAACAGUCGCCGGAGGCUCUGGGACAAUCUCCCUGCGCGGUGCAGGGGGUGACACAAGAUGUGUCAGAGGGGACAUGUGGAGACAGGGCCCACACGUACCCAGAUGGAUCGGCCCUGAUUAUUGUGUGCAGGUACGGGAGUCCGGGGCCGUCAUGCGGGACCACGCCGGGGAGCCAGGCCGAGGGUCCGGGGCCGCCAUGCGGGACCACGCCGGGGAGCCAGGCCGAGGGUCCGGGGCCGCCAUGCGGGACCACGCCGGGGAGCCAGGCCGAGGGUCCGGGGCCGCCAAGCGGGAACCA